rnacentral:rRNA from 1 species
GAUGAACGCUGGCGGCGUGCCUAAUACAUGCAAGUCGAGCGAACAGACGAGGAGCUUGUUCCUUUGACGUUAGCGGCGGACGGGCGAGUAACACGUGGAUAACCUACUUAUAAUACUGGGAUAAUUUCGGGAAACCGGAGCUAAUACCGGAUAAUAUAUUGAACCGCAUGGUUCAAUAGUGAAAGACGGCUUUGCUGUCUCUAAUAGAUGGAUCCGCGCCGGAUUAGCUAGUGGGUAAGGUAACGGCCUACCAAGGGGGCGAGGCGUAGCCGACCUGAGAGGGUGAUCGGCCACACUGGAACUGAGACACGGUCCAGACUCCUACGGGAGGCAGCAGUAGGGAAUCUUCCGCAAUGGGCGAAAGCCUGACGGAGCCACGCCGCGUGAGUGAUGAAGGUCUUCGGAUCGUAAAACUCUGUUAUUAGGGAAGAACAAAUGUGUAAGUAACUAUGCACGUCUUGACGGUACCUAAUCAGAAAGCCACGGCUAACUACGUG